rnacentral:rRNA from 1 species
UACGUAGGGGGGCUAGCGUUGUCCGGAUUUAUUGGGCGUAAAGAGCGUGUAGGCGGCCAGGUAGGUCUGGUGUGAAAACUCGAGGCUUAACCUCGAGAUGUCAUCGGAAACCAUCUGGCUAGAGUCCGGAAGAGGAGAGUGGAAUUCCUGGUGUAGCGGUGAAAUUCGUAGAUAUUAGGAGGAACACCCAUUGCGAAGGCAGCUCGCUGGGACGUUACUGACGCUGAGACGCGAAAGCGUGGGGAGCAAACAGG